rnacentral:rRNA from 1 species
AAACGACUCUCGACAACGGAUAUCUCGGCUCUCGCAUCGAUGAAGAACGUAGCGAAAUGCGAUACUUGGUGUGAAUUGCAGAAUCCCGUAAACCAUCGAGUCUUUGAACGCAAGUUGCGCCCCAAGCCUUUUGGCCGAGGGCACGUCUGCCUGG